AUUGAACGCUGGCGGCAUGCUUUACACAUGCAAGUCGAACGGCAGCGCGGGCUUCGGCCUGGCGGCGAGUGGCGAACGGGUGAGUAAUGCAUCGGAACGUGCCCAGUAGUGGGGGAUAGCCCGGCGAAAGCCGGAUUAAUACCGCAUACGACCUGAUGGUGAAAGCGGGGGACCGAAAGGCCUCGCGCUAUUGGAUCGGCCGAUGUCGGAUUAGCUAGUUGGUGGGGUAAAGGCUUACCAAGGCGACGAUCCAUAGCUGGUCUGAGAGGACGACCAGCCACACUGGGACUGAGACACGGCCCAGACUCCUACGGGAGGCAGCAGUGGGGAAUUUUGGACAAUGGGGGCAACCCUGAUCCAGCCAUGCCGCGUGCGGGAAGAAGGCCUUCGGGUUGUAAAACGCUUUUGUUCGGGAAGAAAUCCUCUGGGCUAAUACCCCGGGGGGAUGACGGUACCGGAAGAAUAAGCACCGGCUAACUACGUG
rnacentral:rRNA from 1 species